rnacentral:rRNA from 1 species
AUUGAACGCUGGCGGCAGGCCUAACACAUGCAAGUCGAGCGGAGCGGCGGACGGGUGAGUAAUGCCUAGGAAUCUGCCUGGUCGUGGGGGAUAACGUCAGGAAACGGGCGCUAAUACCGCAUACUAUCAGAUGAGCCUAGGUCGGAUUAGCUCGUUGGUGGGGUAAAGGCCUACCAAGGCGACGAUCCGUAACUGGUCUGAGAGGAUGAUCAGUCACACUGGGCCUGAACAGCAGUCCGAACUCCACCGAGAGGCGUAAGUGGAGAAGAUUGGACAAGGGGCGAAGACCUGAUACAACAAUGCGGCGUAUUGAAGGAGGGUCUACGGGUUUUAAAGCACUUUAAGUAGGUGGACGUUACCAACAGAAUAAGCACCGGCUAACUUCGUGCCAGCAGCCGCGGUAAUUC